rnacentral:rRNA from 1 species
GAUGAACGCUGGCGGCGUGCUUAACACAUGCAAGUCGAGCGAGUGAGUUCUUCGGAACAAUCUAGCGGCGGACGGGUGAGUAACACGUGGGCAACCUGCCUCAUAGAGGGGAAUAGCCUCCCGAAAGGGAGAUUAAUACCGCAUAAAAUUAUCGAGUGGCAUCACAUGAUAAUCAAAGGAGUAAUCCGCUAUGAGAUGGGCCCGCGGCGCAUUAGCUAGUUGGUGAGGUAACGGCUCACCAAGGCGACGAUGCGUAGCUGACCUGAGAGGGUGAUCGGCCACAUUGGGACUGAGACACGGCCCAGACUCCUACGGGAGGCAGCAGUGGGGAAUAUUGCACAAUGGGGGAAACCCUGAUGCAGCAACGCCGCGUGAGUGAUGAAGGUCUUCGGAUUGUAAAGCUCUGUCUUUGGGGACGAUAAUGACGGUACCCAAGGAGGAAGCCACGGCUAACUACGUGCCAGCCGCCGCUGUAA